AGCGAACGCUGGCGGCAGGCUUAACACAUGCAAGUCGAGCGGGCACUUUCGGGUGUCAGCGGCGGACGGGUGAGUAACGCGUGGGAACGUGCCCUCUGGUUCGGAAUAACUCAGGGAAACUUGAGCUAAUACCGGAUACGCCCUUUUGGGGAAAGGCUUGCUGCCGGAGGAUCGGCCCGCGUCUGAUUAGCUAGUUGGUGAGGUAACGGCUCACCAAGGCGACGAUCAGUAGCUGGUCUGAGAGGAUGAUCAGCCACACUGGGACUGAGACACGGCCCAGACUCCUACGGGAGGCAGCAGUGGAGAAUAUUGGACAAUGGGCGCAAGCCUGAUCCAGCCAUGCCGCGUGAGUGAUCAAGGCCUUAGGGUUGUAAAGCUCUUUUAUCCGGGACGAUAAUGACGGUACCGGAGGAAUAAGCCCCGGCUAACUUCGUG
rnacentral:rRNA from 1 species